rnacentral:lncRNA from 1 species
UUGAGAUGUGUCUUGUGGGUAUUCGUGUUAGUAGAAGACGAAGGGACUUUUUUUGAUGUUGUUGGUACCGCUUCAACAAAGCCACUCGUCGUAAAAAAAACUGUUUAGUCUGUGCUAGCAGUUGCAUUUGUGGCGGUGGAUGCUGGUUGUGAUUAUGCACAGAGAGAGAAAGGAGCUUGAAGAUUAGGCUUAUUGCAACUAAAAAACGAGAGGUCCAUGAACGUUAAAAGGAUGCUUCAACGAGAAACGCAUAGAAUUUCCGUGUGGUAAACAGGGUCACGUCAACCCAAUGGCGGAUCCACCACUGAUCUAGAACUCGGAUUAGUUAAGCUCUUAACGAUAACUGGUGUCCUGGCCGAGCCCAGAGCAUAACUUCAUGCAGGUGUGUGGCGAGCUGGCACGAUGGUGUCCUUGACGAAGAGCGUGUCGAGGUGAAAGUAACGUGUGGUCUUCCGGAUGACU